rnacentral:rRNA from 1 species
AACGAACGCUGGCGGCGCGCUUAACACAUGCAAGUCGAACGAGAAGGCGUAGCAAUACGCUUGUACAGUGGCGAACGGGUGAGUAAUACGUGGGCGACCUACCCUCGAGUGGGGAAUAACCCGCCGAAAGGCGGGCUAAUGCCGCGUACGCUUCCAUCUUUAUGGAGGUGGAAGGAAAGCCGUGCCGUGGGCACGGCGCUCAAGGAUGGGCUCACGUCCUAUCAGCUUGUUGGAGGGUAACGGCCUACCAAGGCUCCGACGGGUAGCUGGUCUGAGAGGGCGGACGGACACACUGGGACUGAGACACGGCCCAGACUCCUACGGGAGGCAGCAGUGGGGAAUUGUUCGCAAUGGGCGCAAGCCUGACGACGCAACGCCGCGUGGAGGAUGAAGACCUCGGUCGUAAC